AUGCAUCUGUUUGACAGGCCUGGAGCAGUUACUGUCUGCUACUCGGGUUUCUACUACAGAUGCAAGAAGAAAGCAUCCUCGCGCUUUCUGUCUGUCUGAUUGUGGCAGCCCAGAUUGAAUAGAGGAAUACAGGG
rnacentral:snoRNA from 1 species